CCCAGAGUUUGAGGUUAUCUCUGUACAACUAUCUGCUGUAGGGCCUGGCGUCUACAUUUCUAACACUCCCGAGCGCUACUGUGAGUGCAGGUCCGGGAAGCCACACUGAGGAACUCUCUGCAGCUGCGGGAUCAGCGCCUCCCGCGUACAGGCCGAAGAAACGGAACCCACAAAAAACAGGAGAAAACUGCUUCUUGGAGAACCCAGGCGGUGAGGAGUACAGGAUCAUCGAAGGAAGAGGAAGUCUGGAGCUGGUGGAACAGUGGAAAGUACUGUGAUAGUGUGUACCACCGCCCAACCUGGGGGAAAUUUUCAAUAGACUGGCUGCAAAAAUAACUUUUGGUGCAUCUUCUGGGAAAAUAAGCUACAAUACUACAGCACUGGUCUGGGGGAAGAGCCAGAGUGUAUCGAAGGUGUAAUUACGGGAGAAAGUGCAAAUCUCCCAUCUUUCUAAGGUCAGAAGGAUCAGAGGUAAGAGAAGAGCUUUUUGAGAGAUAAUUUGCUCCUCCUUCCACAGGAUUA
rnacentral:lncRNA from 1 species